GAAAUCCCACUUCCAGCUGGAUGUCUGGAUGAACUACUGAAAGCUGCUGAGUGUCUUGCAGCAGCUUGACUACCACACAAAUUAAUCCAUUCAAAUGUUGGCAAGUGGAGCAGAGUCCCAGGACAGGUACAGAAACACCCCAGUUCAAGGAUCUUCACACCUGGAUUUUAGGCCUACACCUGCAACUACCCCAGAACCUGGAAUUUAUAUGUUCAAGAUGGAGCCAUCUCAGCCAUGACAACAGAGAAUGUACCACUCUCCAUGGGGUAAUAUUGAGUUCCAGAAGGCAAAGAUUAACAUUCAGAAAAAUAGGAAAAACAACCUGCAG
rnacentral:lncRNA from 1 species